ACGGAAGGCAGCAGUGGGGAAUAUUGGACAAUGGGGGAAACCCUGAUCCAGCGACGUCGCGUGAGUGAAGAAGUAUUUCGGUAUGUAAAGCUCUAUCAGCAAGGAAGAAAAUGACGGUACUUGACUAAGAAGCUCCGGCUAAAUACGUGCCAGCAGCCGCGGUAAUACGUAUGGAGCAAGCGUUAUCCGGAUUUACUGGGUGUAAAGGGAGCGUAGACGGCAAAGCAAGUCUGAAGUGAAAUCCCGGGGCUCAACCCCGGAACUGCUUUGGAAACUGUUUAGCUAGAGCGCAGGAGAGGUAAGCGGAAUUCCUAGUGUAGCGGUGAAAUGCGUAGAUAUUAGGAGGAACACCAGUGGCGAAGGCGGCUUACUGGACUGUAACUGACGUUGAGGCUCGAAAGCGUGGGGAGCAAACAGGAUUAGAUACCCUGGUA
rnacentral:rRNA from 1 species